rnacentral:lncRNA from 1 species
AUUAAAUUGGAUUAAGAAUAAGUCGGAUAGGAAAUUCCAUUUGUAGGGAGAUAAAAGACUGAAGAAAAACCUGUAAUACAAACUAAUUGAAUUGAAAAUGGAUGAGUGCUUCCACAUUUUAUCAAUAUUCUUUAUAUAAAUUAGAUUUAAUAGCUUUAAUUUAGCUCAUUUGCUUUUGUAAUAUUAAAAAAAAGUAUUCUUUAUAUUUUCAUAUUCUAUAUUCUAAUAAAAUGAAAAAAAAUUUAUUCUAAAAUCGAAUAAAAAAGAAAAAAGGUUUUUUUAGUUAUUUUA